GGCCAUCGUUUUCCACAGUUGCUAUUAUAGACAUGAGCAAGUUGAAGCAAGUUGCCAUUUUCUUGGAGCAAAUCCCAGACUUAUGCAUAUAAACACACAAAUGGAAAUCUCUCUGGGAAGCUGUUUCGUGGAGUGUGUUUACAUGUUGCUGCAGCAGAGCGGAGCCCCGAGAACUGGAUAUCAAGACCGGUGUAAACAACAAAGUGUCACCAGGACUCUUCGGGGCAGUAAAAGUGUUG